rnacentral:lncRNA from 1 species
CUGAAAAAUACCGCAUUGAUCCUUCACGUUGAUUUUGUUGGUGAGACUGUUGCACCACAUUUAUUUGAGGUCCCUGGCAAUCUGAAGCUAGUGACAUGUCAGACCCCUGUGUCUCCUCUGCGUACACAGUUGAUGAUUGGCCAUAGGAGACUCAUUUUCCGUACUUGCUUCAGCCUGCUGGAAGGAGAGGAUCUUCUGGUGGAAACACUGAUCAGCAAACUGUGUCUAUUCCAUGGCUGGAGAGUGAAGCUUUUAAAACAGAAAAUCAGCAAGAAAGCCCUCUGUGUCCCGCUUAAAAGGACAAAGCGAUGCUGAGGCCUCAGCUCCACCAGAGCAGCCAACGCUGGCCAUAGCCUUGGCAGCUGGGGAUUGGGAGCUCUGCUGCAGCCUCUGCGAGCCCAGGAGACCUGAGAGAAACGUGGGCUCUUCCUCAGGAAAGCAGGAGCUGCCACACGCCUCGAAGCUUGUAAAUCCCUUCCAUGGCUGUUCUGAGUUACCUUCGUGCAGUUUAGCUCAUCUGCUUCCAAACUGGAUCAAGGUAAGCCUUAUAAUGCCUACACAGACAGGAGCAGACAACCAUAUACUUGCACAGCGUG